UGGCUAAAAGAUAAGAAGAAAGAAAAGAAAGUUAGCAGAACACUACAUAGAUACUCUCCAAUGACACCAGGGAACGUAAACCACAGGGAGUUCCUGUAACAAAAGUAAGAGAAAAGCAAAAAGACCAACGGGUGUGGAAGGAGAGAUCUGCCUAGGUAUGGGAGACAACUACUAUGCUUACCCACCUCUAGCACCAUCUAGUGGCUGUGUAUCAGCAGAAUGGGGCAAUUUGGAGGGCACCUUUUAAUCAAAAGGUCAGAUUCCUUUGCAUUCCUAGUCUCGUCUCUGGACAGAAAUUAUGGAAGACUUUGAAUAACUCUUCAAUGGAAAGAGAGUUGCUGUUGCUUAUCCGUAAACUUCUUGAGACUUCCCAGAUGAAGGACAAGCAUUGGCUUUAUUGUGCUUGGGCUACAGCAAAGAUGGUCAUCCUAUGUAGCUGGAAAGAAAAUGACACUCCUGAUUUUAAGGAGUGGGUCCUGGAUAUGAGUUUGUUAUCCAUUUUUUUAAAGUCUUGGGGCUGUAAAAAAGAUGAUGACACAUGAUGUUGCUACAUGGUCCAGUUUUAAUAAAAACCUAACAAUUGGACAAUUGAAUCA